rnacentral:rRNA from 1 species
AUUGAACGCUGGCGGCAUGCUUUACACAUGCAAGUCGAACGGCAGCACGGGGGCAACCCUGGUGGCGAGUGGCGAACGGGUGAGUAAUGCAUCGGAACAUGCCCAGUCGUGGGGGACAACGUAGCGAAAGUUACGCUAAUACCGCAUACGUCCUGAGGGAGAAAGCGGGGGAUCGCAAGACCUCGCGCGAUUGGAGUGGCCGAUGUCAGAUUAGCUAGUUGGUGGGGUAAAGGCCUACCAAGGCGACGAUCUGUAGCGGGUCUGAGAGGAUGCUCCGCCAGACUGGGACUGCGACACGGCCCAGACUCCUACGGGAGGCAGCAGUGGGGAAUUUUGGACGAUGGGGGCAACCCUGAUCCAGCCAUGCCGCGUGCGGGAAGAAGGCCUUCGGGUUGUAAAGCCCUUUUGUUGGGAAAGAAAAGCAGCCGGUUAAUACCCGGUUGUUCUGACGGUACCCAAAGAAUAAGCACCGGCUAACUUCGUGCCAGCCGCCGCAGUAACAC